UGGGGAAUCUUCCGCAAUGGACGAAGUCUGACGGAGCAACGCCGCGUGUAUGAUGAAGGUCUUCGGAUUGUAAAGUACUGUCAUUGGGGAAGAACGGUUUUCUUGAAAAGAUUGAGAAGACAUGACGGUACCCAAGGAGGAAGCCCCGGCUAACUACGUGCCAGCAGCCGCGGUAAUACGUAGGGGGCAAGCGUUGUCCGGAAUUAUUGGGCGUAAAGGGCGCGUAGGCGGGCCUUUAAGUCCGGUGUGAAAGAUCAGGGCUCAACCCUGAGAGUGCAUCGGAAACUGGAGGCCUUGAGGACAGGAGAGGAAAGUGGAAUUCCACGUGUAGCGGUGAAAUGCGUAGAUAUGUGGAGGAACACCAGUGGCGAAAGGCGACUUUCUGGACUGUAACUGACGCUGAGGCGCGAAAGCGUGGGGAAGCAAAACAGGAUUAGAUACCCUGGU
rnacentral:rRNA from 1 species